rnacentral:rRNA from 1 species
UACAGAGGUCCCAAGCGUUGUUCGGAUUCACUGGGCGUAAAGCGCACGUAGGCGGACUCUUAAGUCGGUGGUGAAAUCCUGGAGCUCAACUCCAGAACUGCCUUCGAUACUGGGAGUCUCGAGUCCGGGAGAGGUGAGUGGAACUGCGAGUGUAGAGGUGAAAUUCGUAGAUAUUCGCAAGAACACCAGUGGCGAAGGCGGCUCACUGGCCCGGUACUGACGCUGAGGUGCGAAAGCGUGGGGAGCAAACAGG